rnacentral:rRNA from 1 species
AGACCUUACCCACCUUUGACAUGUACGGAAUUUGCCAGAGAUGGCUUAGUGCUCGAAAGAGAACCGUAACACAGGUGCUGCAUGGCUGUCGUCAGCUCGUGUCGUGAGAUGUUGGGUUAAGUCCCGCAACGAGCGCAACCCUUGUCAUUAGUUGCUACAUUCAGUUGGGCACUCUAAUGAGACUGCCGGUGACAAACCGGAGGAAGGUGGGGAUGACGUCAAGUCCUCAUGGCCCUUAUAGGUGGGGCUACACACGUCAUACAAUGGCCGGUACAAAGGGUCGCAAACCCGCGAGGGGGAGCCAAUCCAUCAAAGCCGGUCGUAGUCCGGAUCGCAGUCUGCAACUCGACUGCGUGAAGUCGGAAUCGCUAGUAAU